AGAGUAUGUGCAUGUGUUGGGGGAGAAGAAGAGAGGGAGUUGGGGGGCGGUAAGGAAUUAAUCUGUUCACACAUAUAAUAGAAUUGCACAGAAGAGAUUGCUUAAAUUUAAGCUUAGGCUAGUUCAAAUCUGGUAGAAUCCCAGCCUUUUCAAAAUUCACUAGUGUACUAGGAGACUCAAUUGUGGGAUGUUGGAAAAUAUCAUGUUAUUGGAUCGAAAGUCACCAGAUUCUUAUUCAGCAACUUAACUGACGCAGCGUGAAGCUCGU
rnacentral:misc_RNA from 1 species